rnacentral:rRNA from 1 species
GAUGAACGCUGGCGGCAUGCCUAAUACAUGCAAGUCGAGCGAACAGACGAGGAGCUUGCUCCUCUGACGUUAGCGGCGGACGGGUGAGUAACACGUGGAUAACCUACCUAUAAGACUGGAAUAACUUCGGGAAACCGGAGCUAAUACCGGAUAAUAUAUUGAACCGCAUGGUUCAAUAGUGAAAGACGGUUUUGCUGUCACUUAUAGAUGGAUCCGCGCCGCAUUAGCUAGUUGGUAAGGUAACGGCUUACCAAGGCAACGAUGCGUAGCCGACCUGAGAGGGUGAUCGGCCACACUGGAACUGAGACACGGUCCAGACUCCUACGGGAGGCAGCAGUAGGGAAUCUUCCGCAAUGGGCGAAAGCCUGACGGAGCAACGCCGCGUGAGUGAUGAAGGUCUUCGGAUCGUAAAACUCUGUUAUUAGGGAAGAACAAAUGUGUAAGUAACUAUGCACGUCUUGACGGUACCUAAUCAGAAAGCCACGGCUAACUACGUG